GCACGGGUGAGUAACACGUAUCCAACCUGCCGAUGACUCGGGGAUAGCCUUUCGAAAGAAAGAUUAAUACCCGAUGGCAUAGUUCUUCCGCAUGGUAGAACUAUUAAAGGAUUUCGGUCAUCGAUGGGGAUGCGUUCCAUUAGGUUGUUGGCGGGGUAACGGCCCACCAAGCCUUCGAUGGAUAGGGGUUCUGAGAGGAAGGUCCCCCACAUUGGAACUGAGACACGGUCCAAACUCCUACGGGAGGCAGCAGUGAGGAAUAUUGGUCAAUGGACGAGAGUCUGAACCAGCCAAGUAGCGUGAAGGAUGACUGCCCUAUGGGUUGUAAACUUCUUUUAUACGGGAAUAAAGUGAGGCACGUGUGCCUUUUUGUAUGUACCGUAUGAAUAAGGAUCGGCUAACUCCGUGCCAGCAGCCGCGGUAAUACGGAGGAUCCGAGCGUUAUCCGGAUUUAUUGGGUUUAAAGGGAGCGUAGGCGGACGCUUAAGUCAGUUGUGAAAGUUUGCGGCUCAACCGUAAAAUUGCAGUUGAUACUGGGUGUCUUGAGUACAGUAGAGGCAGGCGGAAUUCGUGGUGUAGUGGUGAAAUGCUUAGAUAUCACGAAGAACUCCGAUUGCGAAGGCAGCUUGCUGGACUG
rnacentral:rRNA from 1 species